CAGAAGUCUACACACAGUGACACAACACCUCUCUCCGGAUGAAAAAGACGAGACUAGAUGAUGAAUAGCAGCAGCAGAUGCAGCGAAAUGAUGAAGCUAUUCGACUCACACUGCCACCUUCAGGACCCAAGAAUUCACCAUCUGGCACCUCAAAUCAUCAGAACAGCUAUGGAAUCCGGAGUCAGUCACUUUGCUGUGAAUGGUGUAUCUGAAAAAGAUUGGAGUUUGGUUAAAAAAAUGAGCGAGGAUUAUCCUUCCUCCGUUAUUCCCUGCUUUGGUCUCCAUCGCUGGUAUAUUCUUGAAAGGACUCCUAAUUGGUUCAACACUUUGAGUGACCUCUUUGGUUCAACCCCUUCCGCAACUGUUGGCGAGAUUGGGUUGGACAAAGGCUCCCAUGGAAAGCAAAUUGAUUUCAAUGAUCAGGUUCAAGUUUUCAGACAGCAACUUGAACUAUCUAAAGAGUUGAAGAAACCAGCUUCUGUCCAUUGUGUUCGCGCGUUCGGUGAUCUUCUAGAAAUAAUGCAGUCUAUGGGGCCUUUCCCUGCAGGGGUGAUUCUUCACUCUUAUCUAGGAUCAGCAGAAAUGGUUCCUACGCUGGCGAAGCUUGGUGCUUAUUUUUCCUUCUCCGGGUAUGUUAUGGAUUUGAAACCUCAGAAAGCAAACAAAAUGCUGAAAUCGGUACCUACUGAGAGGAUUUUAUUGGAGUCAGAUGCACCUGAUGCUCUACCGAAGUCGAGUUUGAAUUUUCUUCAAGGGGAAGUGACUUCUUUGCAAGCAAUUUAGAGCCAAGAAGCAAAUAUUCUAGGGUCUAGCAAUUCCUCUGACCAAUCAUUGCCAAAAGAAACACUUAAUCAACCAGCUAAUAUUCGUAUAGUACUUAGAUAUGUCGCAUCCAUGCUUGAGAUGCCAGAAGAGGAGCUUGCUGAACUUAGCCACAGAAAUGCGUUGCAGUUGUUCUCUUCUUAUCCUGGUUCAAAAGUAAACUAAUGUCGAUAUGUGUUUCGAUAUGCGUUGCAGUUGUUCACUGUAUGUAGUUUCAGAACAGCGAAUGAUCAUCUUUAUACUUUUCGUCUUCGUGAAAUUAAGCUUCAACUAGUUAUAUCUUAUAUGUUACAGUAUAUUCUUUAAGCAUAGCAAAGUGUUAUAAGCUGUCGGCAUGAACAAUUGUGUGAUAUACAAAGUACCCCUGCCGUCACGAAUGUGAUGAGUGCGUGGAUGAACAUGAUUCGUGUAAAUGCAUUGCAGGUGAUUCUCUUCUUCUAUGAAUGAUGUAAUUCACAGAGCAAUAAUAAUCUGUCUGGUUUACUUA